GGGAAAGUGGCUCAGUCGUAGAGUGCUUGCCUUGCAUGCAUGAGGUCCUGGGUUCAAUUCCUCAGUACCA
rfam:Dipodomys ordii contig_37137, whole genome shotgun sequence.